UAUAUUUUAACACAGAUAGCAUUAGCAUUUGAAAAUAAGCUAAACUUGCUGUCCUGGUAUAAGAUUCAGGAUUUAUAAAUUCAGCUGGACUUAGGAAAAUAGGUUGAGAAUUCGUCACUGAUGCCCUGUCACUAGAUAAAUCAUUGGCCGGCUUGCUUGUUGGUAACUGACCAGAUCAUGCUCCUAAGUGUGCAAGUGUCCCUCCCUUGCCCUCACAGGUGUGCAAGCCACUGAGCACACACGGGCAGCGUGCACCCCCAGAGAUGUGCUGCACCGCUGGGCUGAUCGGCCUUCUGAGAAUCCAAUCAGGACGGCUGGAUUCUUUUGAUUUUAGUCUUGAAGACCCUACCUUGGAAUCUCCUCUUUUUCUCUAAUUUUGCUUUCUACCUAAGGUCUCUUGAAGACAGCCCAUCCAUGUUCUGCAAGCCUUGAGGCCCCCGUCCUAUGGCAGCAUGAUGGACCGUGCUUUCUCCUGGAGUUUGUGGGACAGCAUUUUCUGACACCUCAAGCUUCACAUGGAUUGAGCAGGUUGUGCUACAGCUUCCCAGCACCCGGCAGACUGCCCGCACCCAGAUGCCACCCCCAACCCAUCCUCCUGCCUGCUACUCACUGGUUUCCUCUGCUCCUUGCUGCCACCACCCCUACCUUUCACUGCCCCCCACGGCAGCGGCCUAACAGGUGCUGAGCAAGCGCUGACAUCCUGCAGAGAGUUCCAGAAGUGUAGAACCAGAGGGCUCCCUGUGAGACCAUUUUUCUCUGUCUGCAUCACUGAGCUGUACUCGAGAGGCUUUGGGAGAGCCCCAUCCCUUAGCUCUGAGGGAACUUUCCAGUGGGAAACCCUGCCCUGGUUUCUCCUGCACCUCCCCUGCCUUGCCCGAGCCUGGCUGUGCUGCCACGCUCCCUCACCCCCGCAUGACAAGCUCCCCGGCACAGGGCCCACACAGAGCCAUAGAACAGGCAAGUUCAGUUGGCACAGCAACGGGUCAUACUGUAUGGAGGUGAGGAAAGAACUGUGGGCUGGGACCCAGCUGAGGUCAGCAGAGCCAGAGCCCAUUUCCAGGGUCCAGCUCCAGAGUCUGCCUCCUCCUCAGAGACGGCAUUGAAGGCAGAGACCUCUGGCUUCCGUCUGUUAGCCAGCCUUCAGUCACAUAACGAGUACACCCCCGAGGUCAUUGCUGACGAGGAGUGAAGGCUGGGUUGAUUCCCAGGUUUGGAGGUUUUAAUUCAGGAUCAGUCAGCCCUGGUCCUCUGAGCGUUUGGCGGGGUAGCACACAGGCGGGAUGUGGGGGAGCCUGCAGCGAAGGGCUGGGAGGCGAAGGACAGGAAUGGGGGGUCCGGGCUGCCCUUCAAGGACAUGUCCCAGUAGCCUUGCUUCUCUGCUGGGCUGCAUCUCCGAGAGCAUCAGCAGCGCCUCUGACACAGGGGCCUCAGGGACCAAUCGUAAACCUUCAUCGCUUGUCAGACAGGAAAGAUUCGGAAUGAGUGUUUUCUGCUCUCUAUUCUUCUUAGGUUACAGACUUAGGUAAUCAAGUGAGACCUGGCCUUGAGGACCCCGUCCGUCCUGGGUGGCAGCCACUUUAGUGCACUUGCUGCCUCUAGACCUGGCUCUGCAGUAUCUUCUUGACACUGUGAGGAACCGUGCCAACCUGUGCCCCUUUGGGCCUGCAGGCCCCCAACCCCUCACCAUGGCCACCAGUGUGACAGGGCAGGGGGACCCAAAUGGCAUUCAGAGAUGAAGCAAAAGGAGAUGGACUGAGCUGGAACUGGAGAGCCCACAGCGUCCCCUUCUUGGCCACAGGGAGCGUGUGGCUGGCGACAGGCGCCACAGAUGAGUCAGCAGAGGAUGGUAAACAGGGCCUUGGCAGUCAGAAUCCAGGACAGAGAAGAAUAUUGAUUGCACAGGGUUGCAAGGAGGGCUGGGGGCAGGGAGAGAUACGUGUGCCCCAUGGGCACGGGGACAGAGGUGAGCGGGGCUUUGGCUCUGACUGCCGCCCACUGUUCUUUCUCUCCCAAAGCUGAGUCACUGCCAAUCCCAUCCAAAUAGGCUGGAGGUGAGCCGGGACGGGAAGGGAGGCCUGGGAGGUGUCAGGCCGAUGACGAGCUGUCAGCAGCCGCACUGGUUUAUUUCCGAGCAGGACUGUGUUCAUCAGUCGCCACACUGACCCCUGGAGGGGUGGGCUGAGCCCAGGGAGCUGACAGACGCAGACAGCACAGUCCCAUUGGGCAAGUAUGAAACUGCCACCGAGAAUGUGACUUUCCAGGGGAAGCACUUUCCAGGCAGGAGAGCAUUCCUGCUGCUGCUCUGCACAGGGCAAGCUCAUCUGAGGCCGACUCUGCCCUCUCCCCCUUGGCUAUGUCUGGAACUAAUCUCCAGAGCUAGAUGCACUGGGAAACUACAGACUGGGACCUCUGAAUCCAUGAGCCAGCAGAACCCUCUCCUACUUCAAUCCAAGAAGAAGUACCCAGGAUGCAGACGAGAAGCCAGCACUUGUUGGGGGCAUGCAGGCUCCCAAGGAAGAAGUGUGAGUGUCCACUGGUUGGGUUCUUCCAGAAAGGCUGCUUGACCAAGUCCCUCCAUCAGAGAUGUCCUCGCAUUCUGUGGAGAUGAUUUCUAUUUGCUUGAGACACUCUCUGUUUUCUUUAGUUUCACAGUGGCGAUUUAGAUUCACUUAACCAGAUACCAGGUUGUGAUUGAUACAACUGGUGCAUCUCUGAGAGGAAGGAGCUAUGGCCGUCAGGAUCCUAGAGGAUGCCUGCGCAGAAGCUCUAUCGCCUGUGCCUACGUCUCCAGCAGGGCGCAGGGCCCCAGUGCUUGCAGAGUGAGUGCUUCAAUCCUUGAGCUAGACUCUGGCUCUUUUCCAAAUUAAAGCAAGCCACUGAUUGACUGGAAAGCAUGCAGGCAUGGUGGGGUAGGGCUACCCUUCAUCUUGGCCCCUGCUGAAAAUGGCUAUGUCAUGCCUUGUUCCCUGCCUCACCUACUUUGCAAUUCUAGUAAAUUACACAAAUCCCAGGUCCCCAGGGCACUGGGCCCCACUGUACCCAACUCCAGAGAAAGCUGGUGGGUGUGCCGUGAAUGCAUAUAAUUCCUUCCUUGCUCUUGAAUUGUUGAUGAGACGCUUCUAAGGUACAUGUGGCCAUGCUGCUGUCCCUGGAGCUUGCUGUUCACCAGCUACCAACAGAGCUAUUGCUUUUUUAUUGAGAAUUAAAAAUCAUGUAUAUGUAUGGUGUGUACAACAUGUUUUAAUUUAUGCAAUCAUAGUAGAAUAACUAAGGCAAGUUCAUUAGCAUAUGCACUGCCUCUCAUAUUUUUAUGAUGAGAAUACUUAAAAUCUCUUGGAAGUUUUUGCACACACAGUAGACUGUUAACAAUGACAGGUCAGCUGCCGAGUGAAUCUUUUGAAUUCCUUCCUCUUCUCUCACUGAACCUUUGUACGCUUUGACUAACACCUCUCUGAAAAUCACUCUUCUACUCUGCUCCUGUGUGCUCGGAUUCUCCGUACGAGUGCGAUCAUGCAGAGUUCCCUUUUUUUGCAUCAUGGCUUCUUCAAAUGGCUGUCAUGAGAGGAGCACUUGGGCCGGCCAGAUAGCUCAGUGGACUAACACACCUGCUUAGGUAGA